rnacentral:rRNA from 1 species
GCACGGAGUUAGCCGGUGCUUAUUCCUUAAUUACCGUCAGAACUUCUUCAUUAAGAAAAGAGGUUUACGGACCACGGUCCUUCUUCCCUCACGCGGUAUUGCUCCAUCAGGCUUUCGCCCAUUGUGGAAAAUUCCCCA